rnacentral:lncRNA from 1 species
CCCGGUAGUACGUGGCUGGGUGCAAGCUGGUCGUUCGGAAAAAUGUGUGCAUCGGGUUCAACAUAUCCGGCACCUACGACUCGUUUGCGAUGCAUCAAGUGCUUGGUGAAGCCUUCAGGGGCGCUGGAAUUUCUUGAUGCGUCCGUCUCACUUGUCGAGGUUCCGGUUUGGUGACUCGAUGACGGGUUGGGUAGUGGCGGGCGUUCCGAGGCUUCUAGUGUGACCUUUCCUACACAGAAGGAUGUGGUGCUUGGUGAAGCCUUCAGGGGCAUAGCCGCAGCACGAAGGGGCGCAAGUCCAAUCUUCCGGAAGUGUGUCGUGGGCUGGUUUGCGCGGUUGAAGUGGAGGUGCGGUCGUCUGUGACGCUAGCAAAAAUGUGACUCGGUAGGCUUGUCCCUCGGAAAUGUGUUGGCUGUUGAGGUGCUGGAUUGGUCCCACGGUGCGGAUUUGGUAGUUGCGGCAUGGCUCGGGCGUUCCGAGGCUUCUAGUGUGACCUUUCCUGCACAGAAGGAUGUGGUGCUUGGUGAAGCCUUCAGGGGCAUAGCCGCAGCACGAAGGGGCGCAAGUCCAAUCAUCCGGAAGUGUGUCAUGGGCUGGUUUGCGCGGUUGAAGUCAAGGUGCGGUCGUCUGUGACGCUAGCUACAAUGUGACUCGGUAGGAUUGUCCCUCGGAAAUGUGUUGGUUGUUUAGGUGCUGGAUUGGUACCACGGUGCGGAGUUGGUAGUUGCGGCAUCCCACGGGCUUUCCGAGGCUUGUAGUGUGACCAUUCAUGCAUGGAAGGAUGUGGUGCUUGGUGAAGCCCUUAGGGGCACAAGCCCAAUCAUCCGGAAGUGAGUCGUGGGGUGGUUUGCGCGGUUGAAGUCAAGGUGCGGUCCUCUGUGACACUAGCAACAAUGUGACUCGGUAGGCUUGUCCCUCGGAAAUGUGUUGGUUGUUUAGGUGCUGGAUUGGUACCACGGUGCGGAGUUGGUACUUGCGGCAUCCCACGGGCGUUCCGAGGCUUCUAGUGUGACCAUUCCUGCACGGAAGGAUGUGGUGCUUGGUGAAGCCCUUAGGGGCACAAGCCUAAUCAUCCGGAAGUGUGUCGUGGGGGGGUUUGCGCGGUUGAAGUCAAGGUGCGGUCCUCUGUGACUCUAGCAACAAUGUGACUCGGUAGGCUUGUCCCUCGGUGCGGAGUUGGUACUUGCGGCAUCCCACGGGCGUUCCGAGGCUUCUAGUGUGACCGUCCCUGCACGGAAGGAUGUGGUGGUUGGUGAAGCCCUUAGGGGCACAAGCCCAAUCAUGCGGAAAUGUGUCGUGGGCUGGUUUGCGCGGUUGAAGUGGAGGUGCGGUCGUCUGUAACGCUAGCAAAAAUGUGACUCGGUAGGCUUGUCCCUCGGAAAUGUGUUGGCUGUUGAGGUGCUGGAUUGGUCCCACGGUGCAGAUUUGGUAGUUGCAGCAUGGCUCGGGCGUUCCGAGGCUUCUAGUGUGACCUUUCCUGCACGAAAGGAUGUGGUGCUUGGUGAAGCCUUCAAGGGCAUAGCCGCAUCACGAAGGGGCGCAAGUCCAAUCAUCCGGAAGUGUGUCGUGGGCAGGUUUGCACGGUUGAAGUCAAGGUGCGGUCGUCUGUGACGCUAGCUACAAUGUGACUCGGUAGGCUUGUCCCUCGGAAAUGUGUUGACUGUUUAGGUGCUGGAUUGGUCCCAUGGUGCGGAGUUGGUAGUUGCGGCAUCCCACGAGCUUUCCGAGGCUUCUAGUGUGACCAUUCCUGCACGUAAGGAUGAGGUGCUUGGUGAAGCCCUUAGGGGCACAAGCCCAAUCAUCCCGGAAGUGUGUCGUGGGGUGGUUUGUGCGGUUGAAGUCAAGGUGCGGUCCUCUGUGAUGCUAGCAACAAUGUGACUCGAUAGGCUUGUCCCUCGGAAAUGUGUUGGCUGUUGAGGUGCUCGAUUGGUCCCACGGUGCGGAGUUGGUACUUGCGGCAUCCCACGGGCGUUCCGAGGCUUCAAGUGUGACCUUUCCUGCACGGAAGGAUAUGGUGCUUGGGAAAGCCCUUAGGGGUACAAGCCCAAUCAUCCGGAAGUGUGUCGUGGGGUGGUUUGCGCGGUUGAAGUCAAGGUGCGGUCCUCUGUGACUCUAGCAACAAUGUGACUGGGUAGGGUUGUCCCUCGGUGCGGAGUUGGUACUUGCGGCAUCCCACGGUCGUUCCGAGGCUUCUAGUGUGACCGUCCCUGCAUGGAAGGAUGUGGUGCUUGGUGAAGCCCUUAGGGGCACAAGCCCAAUCAUCUGGAAGUGUGUCGUGGGGUGGUUUGCGCGGUUGAAGUCAAGGUGCGGUCCUCUAUGACUCUAGCAACAAUGUGACUCGGUAGGGUUGUCCCUCGGUGCGGAGUUGGUACUUGCGGCAUCCCACGGGCGUUCCGAGGCUUCUAGUGUGGCCGUCCCUGCACGGAAGGAUGUGGUGCUUGGUGAAGCCCUUAGGGGCACAAGCCCAAUCAUCCGGAAGUGUGUCGUGGGGUGGUUUGCG